CNUGCAGUUGACGGGAUCAGUUGUAGCAAUACGACUGUGAGAGUGGCGCACGGGUGCGUAACACGUAUGCAACCUACCUUAAACUGGGGAAUAGCCCCUCGAAAGAGGGAUUAAUACCGCAUAACGAGGCGUGUAGGCAUCUACACUCCUCUAAAACUCCGGUGGUUUAAGAUGGGCAUGCGGCUGAUUAGCUAGUUGGUGAGGUAAUGGCUCACCAAGGCUACGACCAGUAGGGGGUCUGAGAGGAUGUCCCCCCACACUGGUACUGAGACACGGACCAGACUCCUACGGGAGGCAGCAGUAGGGAAUAUUGGACAAUGGGGGAAACCCUGAUCCAGCCAUGCCGCGUGCAGGAUGACUGCCCUAUGGGUUGUAAACUGCUUUUGUACGGGAAGAAACCACAUUACGUGUAAUGUGUUGACGGUACCGUGAGAAUAAGGAUCGGCUAACUUCGUGCCAGCAGCCGCGGUAAUACGAAGGAUCCUAGCGUUGUCCGGAUUUACUGGGUUUAAAGGGUGCGUAGGCGGACUUUUAAGUCAGUGGUGAAAGCCUGCAGCUUAACUGUAGAAUUGCCAUUGAAACUGAAAGUCUCGAGUGUGGUUGAGGUAGCUGGAAUGUAUCAUGUAGCGGUGAAAUGCUUAGAUAUGAUACAGAACUCCAAUUGCGAAGGCAGGCUACUAAACCAUAACUGACGCUGAGGCACGAAAGCGUGGGGAUCAAACAGGAUUAGAUACCCUGNUAGUCCACGCCCUAAACGUUGCAUACUCGGUUUUGGCGAUAUACAGUCAGGACCCAAGCGAAAGCGUUAAGUAUGCCACCUGGGAAGUACGAUCGCAAGAUUGAAACUCAAAGGAAUUGACGGGGGCCCGCACAAGCGGAGGAGCAUGUGGUUUAAUUCGAUGAUACGCGAGGAACCUUACCUGGGCUUGAAUGU
rnacentral:rRNA from 1 species